AUUGAUUAUGACAGGCAGUACCUUUUCUAAAUGCACACUGCAUUGUGCUUUUCCAACAGAGAAACAGUACUACACAAAGAUGCUAAGACAUAGCCACCCACAUGGAAUGAAUUUUAAAGCUGCCUGGGAUGGAUUAUUGAAGGACGCCAUUAGGAACCUCUACAAGUGCAAUGCAAGUGCCUCUGCAUUAGACCCUGUUCAGAAUGCAGUGUUUGCAUGGGGCUACAGUGUGAAAG
rnacentral:lncRNA from 1 species